rnacentral:rRNA from 1 species
UACGUAGGGUGCGAGCGUUAAUCGGAAUUACUGGGCGUAAAGCGCACGUAGGCGGACUGUUAAGUCGGGGGUGAAAUCCUGGGGCUCAACCUCAGAAUUGCCUCCGAUACUGGCAGUCUCGAGUGCGGGAGAGGUGAGUGGAAUUCCCAGUGUAGAGGUGAAGUUCGUAGAUAUUGGGAAGAACACCAGUGGCGAAGGCGGCUCACUGGCCCGUAACUGACGCUGAGGUGCGAAAGCGUGGGGAGCAAACAGA